CCUACGGGCGGCAGCAGUGGGGAAUAUUGGACAAUGGGCGGAAGCCUGAUCCAGCAAUACCGCGUGUGUGAAGAAGGCCUGAGGGUUGUAAAGCACUUUCAAUAGGAAGGAAUACCUAUCCAUUAAUACUGGGUAGACUGACAUUACCUAUACAAGAAGCACCGGCUAACUCCGUGCCAGCAGCCGCGGUAAUACGGAGGGUGCAUGCGUUAAUCGGAAUGACUGUGCGUGAAUCGUGCAUUCGCGGCUCAAAGCCCCGGGCUUAACCUGGGAAUGGCAUUUGAUACUGGCGAGCUAGAGUUGAGUAGAGGGGAGUGGAAUUUCAGGUGUAGCGGUGAAAUGCGUAGAGAUCUGAAGGAACACCAGUGGCGAAGGCGACUCCCUGGACUCAAACUGACGCUGAGGUACGAAAGCGUGGGUAGCAAACAGGAUUAGAUACCCGAGUAGUC
rnacentral:rRNA from 1 species